rnacentral:rRNA from 1 species
UACGUAGGGUGCGAGCGUUGUCCGGAAUUACUGGGCGUAAAGAGUUCGUAGGCGGUUUGUCGCGUCGUUCGUGAAAACUUGGGGCUUAACUCCAAGCGUGCGGGCGAUACGGGCAGACUUGAGUACUACAGGGGAGACUGGAAUUCCUGGUGUAGCGGUGGAAUGCGCAGAUAUCAGGAGGAACACCGAUGGCGAAGGCAGAUCUCUGGGCCGUAACUGACGCUGAGACGCGAAAGCGUGGGGAGCGAACAGG